UAAGGAUGUCAGCUGAGCGGAAGGGAUAAAAGCAAAACACGAAUUCAAAAAGGGAAUAAACAAACUGCAAACAUUUCAGUUGUUGCAACUUUGGACUCAAAGCCACAAAUAUUGACUUCAAGAGUGCAAGAGGAAAGGAUUACCACAGACCUGACCGUGAACACCGUGGACACCCACCUCAGGGAGACGCUGCCUAAGAUCUCAAGGCUGCUUGGUCGUGGUCUUUCUGGCACGUACUCUUCCAAGAUGAGCCGGGAAGUUUAACACUGAUGGAAU